UAUAAUGUGGGAAUCACCUACAUUAUGAAAAUUUCUAUUAAUGUAAAAGACUAGUAAAGAGGUGCUAAACAGUCACAAAUGUAUAUAUUUUCACUUGCAGGUCAAUAAAGUGGUCUCUGAGAAGGUAGCAUUAAGGCUGAUAACCUGAAGCAUGACAAAGGGCUUGCCAGGCACAAAAACCAAAACCAACCAACCAACCAACCAACCAACCAACCAACCAACCAACCAAACAUUAGAAGAUAAUGGAAAAUGUUUUAUUUAUAGCAGGGGAAUGCUCAGCAGCUUCCAGAAACUGAAGAAUUCUGUAUGCUAAAGAGUGAACUGAGAGGAAUGGCUUCAUUAAGACAGUGAAGGGUGUUGUGGAUUCAAGACUCACAUCCCUUCUUGAUAGAUCAAUGAACGCUUGGCCACAGUUCACCUACGUGGGGAUUUUGAUUACAGAACUUGGGUCAUCAAUACUAAUGUGCAUCCAAAUAACCUAUGAUGGACCUCUUUCAAAAAUCUGUGUCUCUGGCCUAUCCCUCUGAGAUGGACUUAAGAGAACCCUGCACACCAUCAGUGCUCUCCAAGAGGAUGUCAGAAUGUUCAAACAUAAACAAUAAAAAUAUAGAAGAAAGAGAAACCAAAAGAGCAGAAGAAAGAACAUUGUAUCAAUAGCGUAAUGAGAACCAGAGAAAGAGAACCACCGCAUAUGUCUAUUCUUCCCUUGACCAUGCUACAAACCACCCCGUCAUUCCAGAAGGAGAUCAAGCAAAGAUUUAAAAUGCAUGCCCUUCUCUUUGCUGAGAUUUUUUUUUUCCAUCACAAUUGAAUACUUCUUAAGAAGUUUGCACUAAUAUCUUGAUUACUGUGGUUAUGAUCUAUUUUUGUUCAUCUUUUGUGUGCCUUGAAAUGGGAGAUAUGGGGUUCUAGUCCUGAGUGCUCUAAUAGCAGAAAGAAGGCAAAUAUACAGGUAACAUUUUUUAGUAGUUCCCCUAAAUACUUCCACUUAAAUUUCUUAUAUAUUUAUUUGUUUAUUUAAUUGUUUAUUUGAAGUAACUUCAGAUAGUAGAGAAAAUAAGCAAGGUAGUUUGUCCUUCCAUUCCUAACUGUAAAAUAUAUUUAAACAAUUUUCUGAAGGAAAGAAAGGAUACUAGACUGUAAAGUAAGGUAAACUAUGACCCUCAGGCUAAAUCCAGGCCACAGCUUGUUUUUGGAAAUAAAGUUUAAUUGAACCACA
rnacentral:lncRNA from 1 species